CAAUCGAUCCAUUGUCCAUGGAUUCACUAUUCAGGACAUAUUUCGUUCAUUGAGAUAGUCCUAAUUAGUCUCUUUGCCAUUUGAUGUAUAAGAAUCAUCCAUACAUCGAUUCAUUUGUCCUGAAAGAUUUCUUCAAAGAUUGACUUUCAGGGCAUAUUUCCAACAAUCUCCCACUUGCACUAAAGUCAAUCACUAGUGUAUCUCAUACAUCUUGUCGAGAGAGUUUAUGCUCGUAGGUUAACUUGGUUAUGUAUUAAUCUCUUUUAUUAAAAGAGAUUUACUUAUCAAAUGUUUCCAAGACAUUUGAUGAUGUCUCUUUAAUGUGUUCGAAUACUUUGAUGAGACCUUGAUUCCAUGGCUUGAGCUAUCGCCCCAUUACGUCGUAGUACUCUACUAACGACCUUAUGGUUUGGAUUCAAUCAUGGGUUCUAAAAGAACCCCUUUCAUUCAAAACACCUUUUUGAAGCAGUUUCUAAAACUAUAUAUCGGCAUAUAUUUCGUUUGUAUACUUUAUACAAACUUUGCUCCAAGCUUGAGACCAUUGUAGUACAAUACUAACAAUUCAUUCAUAUGAUUAGUACUUCAUCCAUCAUGAAGUUCCAUUUGUUAAAAUGGCUUAUUUUCACUUUGGUUAACAACCUAAGUGAAUGCACGCUUCCAGAGUCCCACUCUGAUGUUUCUUUCUUAAAGGCAAUAAUACUCUAUCAGUUGCUUUGGUUCUGAUCCUGGGAUAUAGUAAUAUCUUAAAGUGAUUAACUCAGUGGUUUCUUCACCUUUGGAUAUCUACUUCACAAGUCAACACAUGUGUCCCUUUUUUGUGAUUUUAUGACACAUUCAUUAUAAGGGUUAUGAAAGUGAUUUCUUAUCACAUAGGAAAAUGCUUUCUUAAAUCUUCAACAUUUGAGAUUUAAUUCCCAUAUAACAUUAUUGAGAUAGCCUUGCUAUAUCAGUAAGUCCAAUUUCAAGUCUAUACUUCAAAAUUGACUGUGUCAUGUUUUGUCAUUUUCGAGUAACAUCUAUGUUUCAUCAAGUCUAUCAAAUAGACUUUAUUCACAUCUUGUUGCUCAAAUUAUGACAUCACUCCCACUGGCCUUGUUGUAACUUAGCAUUCAUUCAAAAAUAACACUUAUAUUUUCUUGAUUUGAAUGCGUGUUGCUCCCACUAACUUGUCUUGGAUCCAUUGAGAAUUAUUGAGAUCCAUUAGCUUAUUGAUGAUGUUCUCAACAAUUUUGAGACCAUCAACAACCCUAGUUAACACAAGUUAUUUAAAUGAAUCACAUACAAAAGAAUUCCUUCUAAAGUAAUUCCUUUUGAAUAUGUGACUUGUUUUAUCAAGUCUAUUCAUUUAAUUAUACGAUGUCAUACACCAUACUACAAGUUUUAGUCACACUAAGACCUUUUAAUGUAGUGAUAUAAGAAUUAUCUAAGUCUUUAGUGGAAGCAUGGCUCCUACUAAGGAUAUAGAUACUCAACCAUUCCUUCUAGGUGGUUGAUAUAAUUCUCUAUCAAAACUACAUAGAGCAAUAUCGUUACAUGAGAUGUUGAAUUUGGAUUGUCUUGUUGUUAAACCAUAUGUUGUGACUCAUUUUGAAACUUAUUCCCUUUUGUUUCAUCAACUUGUCCAUAUGCUUUGUCAUUAGCAUGUUCUCAUAAAAGAGAAUGAUGGACAACUCCCAACAUAUAACCAUUUUAUGCUAGGUUGACGAAACC
rnacentral:lncRNA from 1 species